UUCUGGUUAGCUCAGUUGGUUGAGCGCUUACUGGAAAUUGGGAGGCCUCUGGUUUGAUACCAGGACCAGGCG
rnacentral:tRNA from 1 species